GCAGUGCUCUGGCACUGUCGCUGGCAUUGUAUGAUGCGAGAGGAAAGUCCGGGCGGCACAGGGUACUCCACUUCCGAAACUAGAAGCUAUUGGUGACAGUAGGUAUUGACAGAAGAGAAUAACCGCCCCGUGAGAUCUACCUAAUCCAUUUGGAUUAGAAGGGGUAAGGGUGAGAAGGUGGUGCAAGAGACCACCAGCUGAUGGGUGAUCAUCAGGCUGUGUCAUCUGGAGGACGCAAGUUCAUGUAUACCGCAGGUAGAAGGUGACCCGCCUAAUAGUCUUCGGACUUCUGCGGAGGGUAGAAUGCUUGAGCUCAGGGGUGACCAUGAGACUAGAUAAAUGACAGGCACCUCUUUGUAAAAAGAGGAACGGAACCCGGCUUACAGGAGCACUGCUUUC
rnacentral:RNase_P_RNA from 1 species